AUUGAACGCUGGCGGCAGGCCUAACACAUGCAAGUCGAACGGUAACAGAAAGCAGCUUGCUGCUUUGCUGACGAGUGGCGGACGGGUGAGUAAUGUCUGGGAAACUGCCUGAUGGAGGGGGAUAACUACUGGAAACGGUAGCUAAUACCGCAUAACGUCGCAAGACCAAAGAGGGGGACCUUCGGGCCUCUUGCCAUCGGAUGUGCCCAGAUGGGAUUAGCUAGUAGGUGGGGUAAAGGCUCACCUAGGCGACGAUCCCUAGCUGGUCUGAGAGGAUGACCAGCCACACUGGAACUGAGACACGGUCCAGACUCCUACGGGAGGCAGCAGUGGGGAAUAUUGCACAAUGGGCGCAAGCCUGAUGCAGCCAUGCCGCGUGUAUGAAGAAGGCCUUCGGGUUGUAAAGUACUUUCAGCGGGGAGGAAGGGAGUAAAGUUAAUACCUUUGCUCAUUGACGUUACCCGCAGUAGAAGCACCGGCUAACUCCGUG
rnacentral:rRNA from 1 species